rnacentral:rRNA from 1 species
CAAUAGCGUAUAUUAAAGUUGUUGCAGUUAAAAAGCUCGUAGUUGGAUUUCUGGUGGGAGCGAUCGGUCUGGCGCUUAGCGCGAGUACUUGCAUCGUCUCCGGCCAUCCUUGGGGAGAGUCUGUCUGGCAUUAGGUUGUCGGGCAGAGGAUCCUCAUCGUUUACUGUGAAAAAAUUAGAGUGUUCAAAGCAGGCUUAUGCCGUUGAAUAUAUUAGCAUGGAAUAAUAAGAUAGGACUUUGGUACUAUUUUGCUGGUUUGCGCACCAAAGUAAUGAUUAAUAGGGACAGUUGGGGGUAUUCGUAUUCCGUUGUCAGAGGUGAAAUUCUUGGAUUUACGGAAGACGAACUACUGCGAAAGCAUUUACCAAGGAUGUUUUCAUUAA